rnacentral:rRNA from 1 species
UACGGAGGGUGCAAGCGUUGUCCGGAUUUAUUGGGUUUAAAGGGUGCGUAGGCGGCUAAUUAAGUCAGCGGUGAAAUUCUACAGCUUAACUGUUAGAACUGCCAUUGAUACUGGUUGGCUUGAGUACAGAUGAGGUAGGCGGAAUUGACAGUGUAGCGGUGAAAUGCUUAGAUAUCGUCAAGAACACCUAUAGCGAAGGCAGCUUACUAGGCUGUAACUGACGCUGAGGCACGAAAGUGUGGGGAUCAAACAGG